rnacentral:rRNA from 2 species
UUCCGGUUGAUCCCGCCGGACCUGACUGCUAUCGGAUUGAUACUAAGCCAUGCGAGUCAUUGUAGCAAUACAAGGCAUACGGCUCAGUAACGCGUAGUCAACCUACCCUAUGGACGGAAAUAACCUCGGGAAACUGAGAAUAAUAUCCGAUAGAACAUUAUGCCUGGAAUGGUUUAUGUUCCAAAUGAUUUAUCGCCGUAGGAUGGGACUGCGGCCUAUCAGUUUGUUGGUGAGGUAAUGGCCCACCAAGACUAUUACAGGUACGGGCUCUGAGAGGAGUAGCCCGGAGAUGGGUACUGAGACACGGACCCAGGCCCUAUGGGGCGCAGCAGGCGAGAAAACUUUGCAAUGUGCGAAAGCACGACAAGGUUAAUCCGAGUGAUUUCUGCUAAAGAAAUCUUUUGUUAGUCCUAGAAACACUAACGAAUAAGGGGUGGGGCAAGUUCUGGUGUCAGCCGCCGCGGUAAAACCAGCACCUCAAGUGGUCAGGAUGAUUAUUGGGCCUAAAGCAUCCGUAGCCGGCUCUGUAAGUCCUCGGUUAAAUCUGUACGCUUAACGUACAGGCUGCCGGGAAUACUGCAUAGCUAGGGAGUGGGAGAGGUAGACGGUACUCGGUAGGAAGGGGUAAAAUCCUUUGAUCUAUUGAUGACCACCUGUGGCGAAGGCGGUCUACCAGAACACGUCCGACGGUGAGGGAUGAAAGCUGGGGGAGCAAACCGGAUUAGAUACCCGGGUAGUCCCAGCUGUAAACUAUGCAAACUCAGUGAUGCAUUGGCUUGUGGCCAAUGCAGUGCUGCAGGGAAGCCGUUAAGUUUGCCGCCUGGGAAGUACGUACGCAAGUAUGAAACUUAAAGGAAUUGGCGGGGGAGCACCACAAGGGGUGAAGCCUGCGGUUCAAUUGGAGUCAACGCCGG